rnacentral:lncRNA from 1 species
GGGACUGGAGGAGGAGGAGACUUGUACUUAUAAGGCUUCUUGUGAGGUGAUGGUGGAGGAGAGUGGUAAACUGGGGUGGGGACAUGGGGAGGGUAGGUGGGAACUGGUGGCGGUGGGGAGUGGUAGACUGGGUGGGGGUGAGGGUAGCGGUGCCUGUGCACUGGUGGAGGAGGGGAAGAGUAUUUGUAUGACUUCUUAGGAGGGGGUGGAGGAGAGUGGUAAACUGGGUGUGGGUGAGGGUAAGGCUUGUGCACUGGUGGUGGGGGAGAUGGGUAUUUGUAUGGCUUCUUUGGUGGUGGAGGUGGUGGGGAGUGGUAGAUUGGGUGAGGGUGAGGGUGAGGGUGUGGGUGAGGGUAAUGGUGAGGAGGGGGUGGAGGAGAUUGGUAGACUGGGUGUGGAUGAGGGUAGGGCUUGUGCACUGGUGGUGGUGGAGAUUGGUAGACUGGGUGUGGAUGAGGGUAG